UCCCCUCCCCUCAAAGAUGUUUGAAUUACACUCCCCUCCCCUCUUAAGUUAAAAUAUACACUUCCCUCCCCUCUUAUUCAAAGCAUAUUAGAAAAAAUUUCACUCCCCUCCCCUAAGAGAAGCUUGAAUUACAUCCCCCUCCCCUCUUAUGUUAAAAUCUACACUUUACUCCCUCAAUAUUCUUUUUUAUUAUUUCUAAUAAUCUAGCAAAAAAUAAUAAUUUAACACACUUAAAAAAAAAUAGUAUUGCGGGUCUAUUUUAAUAUAAUAAAAAAUUGAAUACAUAUUUUUUGCUAUUUUUUAUUCACAAUUUCAUUAACAUGUAGUUUUAAACCCUAUUAUAAAAUAUGAAACAACCCAAAACAAAAUUAAAAUAUGUGAAAAAUUACUAAAAUCAUCAAAGCAUGAUUAUUUAAAAGUUAAUUUUAUACUCUAAUUUAUAAAAUCAAUAGCAAUAUAUUUAAAUUUAAUUAUCAUUGACAUUUAAACUAUAAAGAAAUGAAUUAGUUUUUCUUAAAUGGUGAUUCAAAAUUAGUAUAUAUUAUAAGAAUAUUUAUUUAUGUUCAAAUAGAUUAAAGUGUAGUGCAUAGUUAAUUAUUAAGGGAGGGGUUUGUAAUUCAAGCAUCUUAUAAGGGAGGGGAGUAUAAAUUUUAACAUAAAAAAAAUAUUGAGGGAGUAAAGUGUAUAUUUUAACUUAAGAGGGGAGGGGAGUGUAAUUCAAGCAUCUUUGAGGGGAGGGGAGUGUAAUUUACUCUUA
rnacentral:lncRNA from 1 species